rnacentral:RNase_P_RNA from 1 species
GCAGCAGGCCGGCCUGUCGCCUGUCCUGCGUGGACGGGAGGAAAGUCCGGGCAACACAGGGCGCCGUCCUUCUUAACGGGAAGCUAUCCGCGAGGGUAGAGCAGCGUAACAGAAAAGAACCGCCGCGCCUCCGGGCGCGGUAAGGGUGAAAAGGUGAGGUAAGAGCUUACCGCUUCUGCCGUAAUGCAGGAGGUCCGUACGCCUGACGGGUUGUAAGGUCAUGUAUACCGACGCAUGUAGGGCGGUCCGUCCGAUGUCGGGGGGUAGACUGCAAGGAAUUUGCCGGCGACGGUAAAUCAAGAUGAAUGACAGGCGCUUUCAUAUGAUCGUAUGGACGUACAGAACCCGGCUUACAGGCCUGCUGCCUUU